rnacentral:siRNA from 1 species
AAAGUAAGCUAAGAUGGACCAA